rnacentral:rRNA from 1 species
UACGUAGGGUGCAAGCGUUAAUCGGAAUUACUGGGCGUAAAGCGUGCGCAGGCGGUGAUGUGAGACAGAUGUGAAAUCCCCGGGCUCAACCUGGGAACUGCAUUUGUGACUGCAUCGCUAGAGUACGGCAGAGGGGGAUGGAAUUCCGCGUGUAGCAGUGAAAUGCGUAGAUAUGCGGAGGAACACCGAUGGCGAAGGCAACCCCCUGGGCCUGUACUGACGCUCAUGCACGAAAGCGUGGGGAACAAAAGGG